rnacentral:rRNA from 1 species
UACGUAGGGUGCGAGCGUUGUCCGGAAUUAUUGGGCGUAAAGGGCUCGUAGGCGGUUUGUCACGUCGGGAGUUAAAACUCAGGGCUUAACCCUGAGCCUGCUUCCGAUACGGGCAGACUAGAGGUAUGCAGGGGAGAACGGAAUUCCUGGUGUAGCGGUGAAAUGCGCAGAUAUCAGGAGGAACACCGGUGGCGAAGGCGGUUCUCUGGGCAUUACCUGACGCUGAGGAGCGAAAGCGUGGGGAGCAAACAGG